rnacentral:rRNA from 1 species
GUGAAGCUGGAUUCGCUAGUAAUCGCGCAUCAGCCAUGGCGCGGUGAAUACGUUCCCGGGCCUUGUACACACCGCCCGUCAAGCCAUGGAAGCCGGGGGCGCUUGAAGUGCGUUGCCGCAAGGCGCGCCCUAGAGCGAAACCGGUGACUGGGGCUAAGUCGUAACAAGGUAAC